GGCGUUUCAUAGGAUUUGGGUGUACACUGAGUAACUCCAAAGUGGGAUUCCAAGAAGGCAAGGAUUAACUCUGGAUUGAGUAUCAGAUCUAUAGUUAAAUUAGAUGUGACCACAGAUGGAGGAAGCCUGGCAUCUGCAUCACAACAUGGAAGGAGUGAUCUGCCCAUGGGGAACAAUGCUUUGAUGUCUGAUGUAAGCAAGAAAUAUUUUUGUUUUUUCCUGACGUAUUAGAGCCUACAUAUCAUAACAGCUGCUGUUACACUAAGACACUCUUGCCAUAUAUUGUAAAGAUAAG
rnacentral:lncRNA from 12 species